CAAGGAGCAAAUUAACUUAGGUGAAGACUGGGCACGUCAGCUCAAUUUGAGAUUUUGGGUUACUGUAAGGUCUACAGAAAUGAUUUGGUUGGUUGAAGACUUUUGUAGUUAAAUUGGCAUUUCUUUGAAGAUGACGUUAAGAACUCUUAGUGAGCUGAGAGAAUGCUUUUGUGGCUUGCUGCUUUUGUUGGGAUCUGCUGCGGUUGUACCUGUGUGCCAACUUGUCUCUCUGAAAAUUUGAUCACAACUUCGAAUAACAGAGGUGUCCUUUCCCUUCUGGUGGUGAGUCUUGGCAGAAUGAAUAACGUUUUUUUUAAAGGAAAGGAGGAAAAGAGCUAUUCUGCAGAGUAGGACAGCGCUAAUGUAGACAGGCGCUCUCGGCUCUUCAGUUGCCAGCUUUCCAGGUGAUUUGACACAAAAGGAUCUUGGAAUGGGGGCAGCAGAGCCAAGGAGCAGAAAGAGCCGGAUCAAUACUAAAAGGCUGAUGCAAGGCCCCAUUACUGAAGUUCUGAAUCUUACAUAUCUCACUGACCGUGGAAAAGUUAAGCUGGUGCCUAACUCGAGCCUUUACCCCCGGUGACUAGUGUUCAUGGAACUGGAUGGUAUCCUGGUACUCAGCAUGCCACCAGCGGAGAAAGGGUGGUAUUAGUGACCCUCCAUAUGGCUGCUCUUCAUGAUAACGAUGGAAUGGAAGCAGCCUCUAUGUCCAUUAACUGACUGAUGGGAGUGAGCGUGGGAUAGUUAUACAAUGGAAUAGCAUCCUGCUCUUACGAAGAAUGGAAUUUGCAGCUAAAUGGAUGGAACUGGAACCUGCUAGGCCUUUGGAUGAAGACAUAGAAUUCUCAGCUCCUCCUGUGCCAUGCCUGCCUGGAUUCUGCCAUGCUCCCACCUUGAUGAUAAUGGACUGAACCUCUGAACCGGGUCCUGUUUGCAAUGGAAACUUGAGUGUUCUUGGGCAAGCCAGUUGUGUUUGUUACUUGUGUGCCGGGGCAAACAAGUAAAGGAGUGUUUUCCUGAAGUGGAUACAGGUGAAAGACUAAGGCAGACUCGUGAAGGAACACUGCUUUGAAGAAGACACAGGAGAAAGGAUGUUCUGCUAAAGCAAGCCCGUGAAAGGACAUGUGAUGAAGGAUUCUUUGUUAAUGACACACAUGUAUUGGUCUGCCUUACACUGUAAUUGAGCUCCAUUUACUUGUUGGGACUCCAUAACUUCUGGUGCAGUGCUGUAGUUUCUUGCCUCGUCUGUGGACUGGGGCUGUUUGGCAGAGUGAUGUCAGCUGAGACAGACUCAUGUGUUGAGGCAAGACAGGUGGAGGUCGUGUGAUGAUUGAUGGCUUGCUGGUACAGCUAGCUGUGCAAUGUUUGUGGGUCUCUUAUCUUCACUGAUCUUUGCUUUCCUGAGAAAGGCACAGCCAAGAACUUCUCCUGACACUCCUCUGCGUCCCUCCUGCUAACUUGAGCUGAGGCUGAGGCCUGGCUGUCUCUGCUAGGGCAUGUCACUGCUGUUGCUAACCUGACCCUACCAAAGUGGACUGCUGGUAUAUUCAUGAAGUAUUUGCAAGUGGAUGGAGCUGCCGCUGCCUGCUAACCUAUGAGCUGAACUGCUGAUUUCCAUACAACGCAGAUUGGAAUUGCUCCAAAGAACCUUUCUAAACAGGUCUACUUCCCCUGUAUCCUUUUUUCCCCAGUACCUCUGGUGGGUGGGUUAAAGUGUUUAAAAAAAAUCAUUAAAAAUAAGGUUUGGUCAUUCAGUAACUCCAAGAGUCGAUCUGCACUGAGUGGGGUCGGGCUAGGCCAACAAGAAGCCAACUAUCCUGUGAGGAGUGCGGUGGAACCUCAGGUGGCUCUUUGGGAGAGAAGAUCUCUUCCCACCUGUUACAGCUCUUGGAACAAAAGACUCAGAGAUGGAGUAGUACUUGCACACAGGGUUCGACAGCAGGUACCUCUUAUUGUCUUGGACUGAGAGUUUGGGGGAAACCUUAAUUGCAUGUGGGAAGGCUUGAUGCUGCUCCUAAGUGACCGAUAGCCACACACCUCUCCUGCAGAGGCUGUGGGAACAGUAACUUCGACAGGAGCCAGGGGGCCAGGAGACAUGAUUGAACACCUUCUGUCCCAUGUAGGUGGAAAUCACCACCUAUCGGUCCCUGGGGUUCCAGACCUUUGCUCGACUGGAGACCAGGCUGUCUGUGCGCAUCCAACUGCCCCACAGACCAUGAUCUAGCUGGAGUUGAGUUUUGUGUGGGAUGAGUGAUGAUAAGGAUUUACUUUCUUCUAACAGAGCUUCCAGUAUGACCAGCACCAGUUGCUGAUGAGGCUAUCUUUUCUCCAAUGGGUAGUUUUAGUCUUUGUCAAAAAUCAGAUGGCAAUAGGGGCGUGGGUUUCCAUUUACAAACUCAACUCCAUAUCAUUGAUAAAUGUGUAUAGACUUAUGCUAGUACCCUACUGUGGUGUUUGUUUGUUUUUUAAAUUACUGUAGCUCUGUAGAAAUCAGGUGUGGUGACACCUCUGGCAGUGAUUUUAUUAUUCAAGAUUGUUUUGCCUAUCCUGGGCCUUUUGUUUUUCCAUAUUUAAGAUUAUUAUUCAAAUUCAUAUUCGGAAACACAUUAGACAUUUGAUGAGGAUCGUGUCGUCACUGAAAUCGCCUUUGGUUGGGUGGGCGUUUUCACAAUAUUAAUCUAGCCAACACAUGAGUGAAUAUGGAAGGGGGUUCCAUCUUCAGGAACUGUCUUCUGCUUCCUUUUUUUCUUUCCAUUAUCUUAAAAUCUUCAUUAUACAAGUUUUUCACUCCCUUGGUUUGUGUCCUAGUUAGGGUUUUUAUUGCUGUGAUAAAGUAACCAUGAUCAAAAGCAACAUGGGGAGAAAGGGUUUGCUUCAUCUUUACACUUCCAGGUAACAGUACAUAACAGGAGCAAGUCAGGGGAGGAACUCAAGCAGGGCAGGAACCCGGAGACAGGAACUGAACCUGAGGCCAUGGAGGAGUGCUGCUUACUGGAUUAUUCUCCAUGGCUUGCCCAAUCUGCUUUCUCAUACCACCAGGAACCGGACUCAUGGAUGGCACUACCUAUAAUGGGUUGGGACCACAUACAUCAGUCAAUUAAAAUUAUGCCCCAACAGGCUUACCUACUAGCCAAUGUGGUGGGGUCAUUAUCUCAGUUGAGUUUUUUUUUUUUUCUUAAAUAGCUCCAGGCUGUGUUAAGUUGACAUAAAAACUAGCCAGCACACUAUGAGAGUACUAAUUUCUUCAAAAUAAUAUCUUUGUUAUUUGAGAAUUCCACAAUGUAUUCUGAUCAUAUACAUUCCCUUCCCCACAGCUACUCCUAGAUUGAGCUUCAUCUCCCUACCCACCCAACUUCACAUUUUUUUAUAUCUUAAACCUGUCAAGUCAGUUUGUGUUGGCCAGCUACUCUUGGCUGUAGAAUCUAUUAUGGAGUGUAGUCAGUGUAAGUUCACACCGUAAGGAAACUGCCUCUGCCCCUGCAAGCAGCUAAUAAAGGCCAGUAGCUCCUAAACUAAGGGAGGGACUACAUUUGUACCUUGCAUGCCCUGGUGCUGGGAUUUUGUUGGCCUUGAGUUUGUGUGGGUCUUGAGCAAGCCAUGACAAUAGAUCUAACUACAACUGUACUGCUGCUGUGUCAAGAACAUACUGUUUCCUUGAAGUCAUCCAUCACCUCUGGCUCUUACAAUUUUUCCAUGCCUCUUCUUCAAAGGCCCCUGAGCCGUGAGGGGAGAGGUAUAAUGGGAACAUCCUGUUAGGGCUGAGUAGCCUAAAGUCUCUUACUCUCAGCAUACUGACCAUUUGUAUAUUAGCCAUUGUUAAUGGCAGGCUGCAGGUAGAUGGAUGGUGCUUUCUGUGGAAGGUGUUCAGUCCAUGUGGUCCUAAGGUAACAGGGGUAGAUUUACAGUAUGGGCGGGAGUUACUACCUGGCAUGCCCCAGGUCUCCUGGUGCGCUGGUAGCAGGGGUGGAAGAUCGUCUUUUCUCCAUUGAGUAGGCUUGGUACCCUUAUCAAAAUCAUUUUUGCAGUGUAUGCAAGGGUUUAUUUAUGCUGCCUAUUUUAACAGCUGGAAACAUCAAAAUCAUGACUAUUGAAUGCUGUGGAGAAAUUGGUAUUCUUACCAUGUUUAAUAAUGUUUUUAUGACUAUAUAAUAAAAGGAAAACUUUAUGUAUUUUCUUUAUCCCUGUUUGCACGGAGCAGCCUGACUCCCUGCAUUUUCCGACCAGGAAUUCUUGCCAGGUCAGUAGGUGUGGGAAGGGCCAGGAUGGCAGACUGGAAGCUACUUGAAGCUGUAUACCCUUAACCGGGUUUGAAAAAAUGGGGAUGACCUUUCUGCGGGGACAGCACACACAUGGAGCAAGACAGCUGCCGGGCAGACACGUGAAGGAAUGUUCAGACACACACAUGCUCCAAAAGAGAUGUUCCUGGGAACAAUGAGAUGCUUGUUUCAACUGAAAUUAACUGAGAGAGGAAAGAGGGUGCCCAGCACCCGCUCCGGGUGUGUUGAAAGAAGCGCUGGUGUGGAGCUGGAGGGCAGGCAAACAGCCUGCUGUGUGAAGCCUUGCAUCCGUCAACAAAUUUAUUCAUUCCCUUUGGCCCAUGCUGUUCCAAGCACCUCACUUGAAGAAGUAGCUGGAGAUGUAAAUAAUUGUGAGCGCUAAAAAGAGGUUUAUAGUCUGUUGUCCUUCACUGUGUUUAAUACGUCAAAUGUCUGACGGUAGUGGCCAAGUGAAUGGCCACUUGCUGCUGCAGUUGUCAUCUGCAGCCAUUGCAACUUAAAAAUCGACAGAGCUUAUAAACUGCAAAUACUGAUAUAACCGUGUUUAGCAACAUAAACAUUUGUAUCAAUUAUGUGGAAAAAUGCAAAAAAAAGGGUUGAAGGUAAUGUGUCAAUAUGUAACAGUUGUGCGUGCUUGGGUUAUAGACAUUUUUCUUUAAAAAAAAACUUUUUCUUAGUAAUCGUUUUAAGUUUUCCAAAUAAAUUAAAAAUAUAUAAAUGCUCCAAUUUCACUUAGGAAAGUGAAAAUUGGAUUUUUCUGAA
rnacentral:lncRNA from 1 species